rnacentral:rRNA from 1 species
ACUCCUACGGGAGGCAGCAGUGGGAAUAUUGCACAAAUGGGGGAAAAGCCCUGAUGCAGCCAUGCCGCGUGUGUGAAGAAGGCCUUCGGGUUGUAAAGCACUUUCAGCGAGGAGGAAAGGGUGUGUGUUAAUACCAUACAUCUGUGACGUUACUCGCAGAAGAAGCACCGGCUAACUCCGUGCCAGCAGCCGCGGUAAUACGGAGGGUGCGAGCGUUAAUCGGAAUUACUGGGCGUAAAGCGUGCGCAGGCGGUUUGUUAAGCGAGAUGUGAAAGCCCCGGCUCAAGCCUGGGAACUGGCAUUUCGAACUGGCAGUACUAGAGUGCUUGUAGAGGGGGGUAGAA